ACGCUGGCGGCGUGCUUAACACAUGCAAGUCGAGCGAAGCAAUUUCAAGGAAGUUUUCGGACGGAAUUGAAAUUGACUGAGCGGCGGACGGGUGAGUAACGCGUGGGUAACCUGCCUCAUACAGGGGGAUAACAGUUGGAAACGACUGCUAAUACCGCAUAAGCACACAGUGCCGCAUGGCACGGUGUGAAAAACUCCGGUGGUAUGAGAUGGACCCGCGUCUGAUUAGCUAGUUGGUGAGAUAAAGGCCCACCAAGGCGACGAUCGGUAGCCGGACUGAGAGGUUGAACGGCCACAUUGGGACUGAGACACGGCCCAGACUCCUACGGGAGGCAGCAGUGGGGGAUAUUGCACAAUGGAGGAAACUCUGAUGCAGCAACGCCGCGUGAGGGAAGACGGUUUUCGGAUUGUAAACCUCUGUCCUUGGUGAAGAUAAUGACGGUAGCCAAGGAGGAAGCUCCGGCUAACUACGUGCCAGCAGCCGCGGUAAUACGUAGGGAGCAAGCGUUGUCCGGAUUUACUGGGUGUAAAGGGUGCGUAGGCGGCACUGCAAGUCAGGCGUGAAAGCCGGAGGCUUAACCUCCGAACUGCGUUUGAAACUGUGGUGCUUGAGUGAAGUAGAGGUAGGCGGAAUUCCCGGUGUAGCGGUGAAACGCGUAGAGAUCGGGAGGAACACCAGUGGCGAAGGCGGCUUACUGGGCUUUAACUGACGCUGAGGCACGAAAGCAUGGGUAGCAAACAGGAUUAGAUACCCUGGUAGUCCAUGCCGUAAACGAUGAUUACUAGGUGUGGGGGGUCUGACCCCUUCCGUGCCGGAGUUAACACAAUAAGUAAUCCACCUGGGGAGUACGGCCGCAAGGUUGAAACUCAAAGGAAUUGACGGGGGCCCGCACAAGCAGUGGAGUAUGUGGUUUAAUUCGAAGCAACGCGAAGAACCUUACCAGGUCUUGACAUCCAACUAACGAAGCAGAGAUGCAUCAGGUGCCCUUCGGGGAAAGUUGAGACAGGUGGUGCAUGGUUGUCGUCAGCUCGUGUCGUGAGAUGUUGGGUUAAGUCCCGCAACGAGCGCAACCCUUGUGAUUAGUUGCUACGCAAGAGCACUCUAAUCAGACUGCCGUUGACAAAACGGAGGAAGGUGGGGACGACGUCAAAUCAUCAUGCCCUUUAUGACCUGGGCUACACACGUACUACAAUGGCUGUUAACAAAGGGAAGCAAUACCGCGAGGUGGAGCAAAACCUAAAAAACAGUCUCAGUUCGGAUCGUAGGCUGCAACCCGCCUACGCUGAAGUUGGAAUUGCUAGUAAUCGCGGAUCAUCAUGCCGCGGUGAAUACGUUCCCGGGCCUUAUACACACCGCCCGUCACACCAUGGGAGCCGGUAAUACCCGAAGUCAGUAGCCUAACCGCAAGGGAGGCGCUGCCGAAGGUAGGAUUGGCGACUGGGGUGAAGUCGUAACAAGGUAGCC
rnacentral:rRNA from 1 species